CAGUCGCCGCGGGAAUACGUAGGUGGCAAGCGUUGUCCGGAAUUAUUGGGCGUAAGGCGCGCGCAGGCGGAUAGGUCAGUCUGUCUUAAAAGUUCGGGGCUUAACCCCGUGAUGGGAUGGAAACUGCCAAUCUAGAGUAUCGGAGAGGAAGGCGGAAUUCCUAGUGUAGCAGUGAAAUGCGUAGAUAUUAGGAAGAACACCAGUGGCGAAGGCGGCUUUCUGGACGAAAGCUGACGCUGAGGCGCGAAAGCCAGGGGAGCGAACGGGAUUAGAUACCCCUGUAGUCCCUGUCUCUUAUACA
rnacentral:rRNA from 1 species